rnacentral:rRNA from 1 species
GAAAGACCCCGUGAACCUUUACUAUAGCUUGACACUGAACAUUGAGCCUUGAUGUGUAGGAUAGGUGGGAGACUAUGAAGUGUGGACGCCAGUCUGCAUGGAGUCAACCUUGAAAUACCACCCUUUAACGUUUGAUGUUCUAACCUAGGCCCAUAAUCUGGGUCGGGGACCGUGUCUGGUGGGUAGUUUGACUGGGGCGGUCUCCUCCUAAAGAGUAACGGAGGAGCACGAAGGUUGGCUAAGCAUGGUCGGACAUCAUGCGGUUAGUGCAAAGGCAUAAGCCAGCUUGACUGUGAGAGUGACGGCUCGAGCAGGUACGAAAGUAGGUCUUAGUGAUCCGGUGGUUCUGAAUGGAAGGGCCAUCGCUCAACGGAUAAAAGGUACUCCGGGGAUAACAGGCUGAUACCGCCCAAGAGUUCAUAUCGACGGCGGUGUUUGGCACCUCGAUGUCGGCUCAUCACAUCCUGAGGCUGAAGUAGGUCCCAAGGGUAUGGCUGUUCGCCAUUUAAAGUGGUACGCGAGCUGGGUUUAGAACGUCGUGAGACAGUUCGGUCCCUAUCUGCCGUGGGCGUUGGAAGAUUGAGAGGGGUUGCUCCUAGUACGAGAGGACCGGAGUGAACGCACCACUGGUGUUCGGGUUGUCAUGCCAAUGGCAUUGCCCGGUAGCUAAGUGCGGAAGAGAUAACCGCUGAAAGCAUCUAAGCGGGAAACUUGCCUC